CUUUCCUUUUGAUUGCCUACAUGCCUGCCUUACCGUGUGGGGUGGGUAUGUAGGUAAUCAAUAUUUAUUAAGAAAAAAGAAAAACCCUUGAAUGAGAAAAGUGUGACCCUUGUCCUUAUCCCAAAA
rnacentral:lncRNA from 1 species